UAGGGAAUCUUCCACAAUGGACGCAAGUCUGAUGGAGCAACGCCGCGUGAGUGAAGAAGGUCUUCGGAUCGUAAAACUCUGUUGUUAGAGAAGAACACGAGUGAGAGUAACUGUUCAUUCGAUGACGGUAUCUAACCNGCAAGUCACGGCUAACUACGUGCCG
rnacentral:rRNA from 1 species